UCCCUGAUGAUCUAGUGGCUAGGAUUCGGCGCUCUCACCGCUGCAAUCUGGGUUUGAUUCCGGGUCAGGGAA
rnacentral:tRNA from 1 species